rnacentral:rRNA from 1 species
GACGAACGCUGGCGGCGUGCUUAACACAUGCAAGUCGAACGGAAAGGCCCUGCUUUUGUGGGGUGCUCGAGUGGCGAACGGGUGAGUAACACGUGAGUAACCUGCCCUUGACUUUGGGAUAACUUCAGGAAACUGGGGCUAAUACCGGAUAGGAGCUCCUGCUGCAUGGUGGGGGUUGGAAAGUUUCGGCGGUUGGGGAUGGACUCGCGGCUUAUCAGCUUGUUGGUGGGGUAGUGGCUUACCAAAGCUUUGACGGGUAGCCGGCCUGAGAGGGUGACCGGCCACAUUGGGACUGAGAUACGGCCCAGACUCCUACGGGAGGCAGCAGUGGGGAAUAUUGCACAAUGGGCGGAAGCCUGAUGCAGCAACGCCGCGUGCGGGAUGACGGCCUUCGGGUUGUAAACCGCUUUCGCCUGUGACGAAGCGUGAGUGACGGUAAUGGGUAAAGAAGCACCGGCUAACUACGUGC